UUAGCGUAGUGGUAGAGCGCUCCACUGGAAAUGGAGAGGUCCCUGGUUCGAUACCAGGA
rnacentral:tRNA from 1 species